AUUCCAGCUCCAAUAGCGUAUAUUAAAGUUGUUGCAGUUAAAACGCUCGUAGUCGGAUUUCGGGGCGGGCCGACCGGUCUGCCGAUGGGUAUGCACUGGCCGGCGCGUCCUUCCACCCGGAGACCGCGCCUACUCUUAACUGAGCGGGCGCGGGAGACGGGUCUUUUACUUUGAAAAAAUCAGAGUGUUUCAAGCAGGCAGUCGCUCUUGCAUGGAUUAGCAUGGGAUAAUGAAAUAGGACAUUGGUUCUCUAUUUCUGAUGGUUUGAAGGACCGAUGUAAUGAUUAAUAGGGACAGUUGGGGACAUUUAUAUUCCGUGGCUAGAGGUGAAAUUCUUGGAUUCAUGGAAGAUAAACUACUGCGAAAGCAUUUGUCAAAGAUGUUUUCAUUG
rnacentral:rRNA from 1 species